AACAGGAAAAACUGGCAGUGCAGGAAUGUGCCAAAGAAUGUUUUCUUUAGAUUCCUGAUAGGAAUGUAGUUCCCUAGCUAAAUUAAACAAUUCCUAUAGAGGUAAGAGUGCAGAUACUAGUUUCACACAUUCCCAAAAUAUGAAGCAAAAACAAAAGCAAAACUUUAAAAGUAAAUAGCUAGACAAUUUUAAUCUGCAUGCACCAUUUACAAUAACAAAUGAAAUUAGGGGGGAAAA